CACCUUGACGGUACAUCCCCACCGCGUCUAUGCUGUGCUGGAAUAUACAGAUUCCUGCAGGAUGGGUGUAUCAAUUGAGAUAAAGCUGAUAGGGGCACCUUGACCGUACAUCCCCACAGCGUCUAUGCUAUGCUGGAAUGUACAGAUUCCUGCAGGAUAUGAGUAUCAAUUGAGAUAACGCUGAUAGGGGCACCUUGACGGUACAUCCCCACCGCGUCUAUGCUGUGCUGGAAUAUACAGAUUCCUGCAGGAUAUGAGUAUCAAUUGAGAUAACGCUGAUAGGGGCACCUUGACCGUACAUCCCCACUGCGUCUAUGCUAUGCUAGAAUAUACAGAUUCCUGCAGGAUAUGAGUAUCAAUUGAGAUAAUGCUGAUAGGGGCACCUUGACGGUACAUCCCCACCGCGUCUAUGCUGUGCUGGAAUAUACAGAUUCCUGCAGGAUGGGUGUAUCAAUUGAGAUAAAGCUGAUAGGGGCACCUUGACCGUACAUCCCCACAGCGUCUAUGCUAUGCUGGAAUGUACAGAUUCCUGCAGGAUAUGAGUAUCAAUUGAGAUAACGCUGAUAGGGGCACCUUGACGGUACAUCCCCACCGCGUCUAUGCUGUGCUGGAAUAUACAGAUUCCUGCAGGAUAUGAGUAUCAAUUGAGAUAACGCUGAUAGGGGCACCUUGACCGUACAUCCCCACAGCGUCUAUGCUGUGCUAGAAUAUACAGAUUCCUGCAGGAUGGGUGUACCAAUUGAGUAAUGCUGCUCAACAUUUGCUAAGGACCACACCAUUGACUGAAGAUGAAUGUUGUUCAAAUGUUGAGUCGUAUAUUAUUGCAUUCAAAAUAGGAGCAUCUUUAACUUGAUAAGUCUCCUGUAAGAGUCGGGGGCACAGAUGGCCCAGUUGUCUUAGGUGCCGCGAUUUGCUGUGCAGUGUAUGAUUGUGGGUUCGAAUCCCGGUUCACCCUGAUUAUGUUUCUAGGUUUAGUGAGCACCAUACCCGGGCUCGUGGGUUUCACCAAAGUGGUAAACAUCUGAGACCUGCAUCACUUCGGGCUUUCCUCCCACUUUAAGCUGACAAGAAGUAAUAUAAUUGGAAUACUGUUAAAAGCUGAGUUAUGCCAUACUCACUCACUCACUCACACAGCCUAGGCACUAGAAGGUUGCAAACACGGUUUGUCUCAACUUGGACUGGCCGUUCUGUUGAAAAAAACAUGCAAACGGCGUAGUCCUGUUGUGGCUGAGUUCUUUUGGAAUGUCAGAGUUCUUCUGUUGUGAUUAAUAAGGUGUGUUGACCAGAAUAGGUAGGAUAAUGUACACAGCUGUCUAGAGCUGCAAUUUCACACAGGAAUUAUUUGUAUUUUGCAUUUGUUAAUUGACACUUAUUAACUACUGGGUCAUGCGCUAUAAGAUGAUACGAGUGCUGCGACUAUCGUAAGUCGACGAUAGAAUUUCAACAGUGGAAGGAGGCCCUGAAUUCUGUGUUGCGGAAGGAAACUAGCUUUGGGAUCAAGACUGACGUUCCAGAUGACAUAAAUAUUGUCAGAUAAGGUUUUUAUUUGCUGUUGUUCACCUUUGAAAAAUGACAAAUUCCUACCAUUUGACUGGACAUUUUGUUGUUAAACUGAACUAUGAGAUGUCCUCAGUCUCUGUUACAAGCAGCAACACAGGUUCAAGGUCAUCUUAACGAGGUAGGUAAUCAGUACAAGGCCCUCAUUUGCAAACUUAAAAACUUUGCAUGAAACUAUAUUUUCCUUGGAAUAUACUAUAUAUUACAUGUGUAUAUUAAUGGGAAAUACUAAACAUCUAAGUGUGAAAUAAGUAGUUGAGUCUAUCAUUAUAGGCCAAUGCGAUAUCUUCUUCCUUGUACAUGUUAACCAAAGUAUUAUUUGCACUCACAUCGGCAGUGUCCUCCACACUCUACAGGCCCUGGUUUAAGGGCCAGGGGUGGCCCUGGUUUGAGGGCAAGGGGUGGCCCUGGUUUGAGGGCCAAGGGUAGCCCAGUCACCUAAGGUGCUGCAGUGUGCUGCAAUUCCUCCCUCAGGCAUGCCGUGAACCUGUGAUCAUGGGUUCGAAUCCUAGAUCCACCUUGAUUGUCACGGUGUUUUCUGUACCAUACCCGUGUUGUGGGUUUCACCAGAGUGGUAAACGUCGAAGAACUGCAUCACUCUGUCUUUCCUCCUAACACAAACUGAAACACCAUGUAUAUUACUCAAAAAGAAGUUAAAGACAGCCCAAUGUUUUCUUAUGACUAUAGUUAGUCUGUCAUGGCUGGUGGGUGCACACAACCUUCCAUUUGUGGGUGUUCUUUGACUUGUUUUGAGUAGUAUAUGUGAAAUACUGUUCACAGUUGUGUGAAGCACAACCGAUUUACUAGCACCUUGCAUCUGUACUGGCAGUGGGCUAGUGUUAAUUGCCAUAUUAAACUGUAUAUUCAUGUCUUGGACCCUGAACUUUGUCGGAUCUGGUGCUGAAGGCUGCUGUCAGGCCCAAACUUAAAACUCUAUGGUUAUAACUGUCAUACAAAGUUACAAUCUUUUUCCUAUUGUUUUGCUAUUGUGCAGUGUUUUUCCCAUUGCUGAUACCAUGGAUACUCUGAUUUCUGUCAUGACUUCAUGGAGGCAGUACAUGCUCCUUUUUAUGCUCCAUUUGUCAAAGCUUUGGAAAAUUUGGCUUUGACAUUGCAUGGAAACCAUGACCUAGUGCUUAUGACCUUGACCUUGUGCUUAUGACACUGGACUUUGUGCUUAUGACCUUGAUCGAGUGUUUACGACCUUGACCUUUUUCGCUGCCCCAGCAAUUACUGAAUAAGGUGGAAUCUGGCUGAAUCAAUUCAGGUUUGAGCCUGGGACCAUUGAAACCAGUAAGUUAGUCAGGACAAUUGGGAGUGUGUAUGUUUUAUACGGUUGACUUAGAACAUAUGUUACACACAAGGCAUGCCCUCUUAGCUAAAGUAUAUUUUGUAAUUUUUUUAUCGCAACUUUAACUUUUAUUGUGACGGCUUGAUGUUUGUAUCCCCCUGCCAUACCUAAUGUAUGGUGAUCUGUUAAGGUCAUAUUUUCAUAGGAUUUGUUUUUUUUUCCAUUGGUAUUCAUGACCAUUGAGUCUGUUAUUGUUGUUUAUAUGCUGGCUCACAAGCUGAUCCAAUUCUUAUUGUAUGACUGUUUUGACAGUGCUAUGUAUAUUGUUGUUUUUUUCUAAGAUAUGUCCACUGUUAUAUAUACAUACUUUCUACCGGGCGGUAUGGCUGAUAUCCCCCUCCAUGCAGUACCCUCUCCUGUACAUAUACAACUGUUUAUACCCUGUGUACAAUGUUUGUUACUUGCUGUCCUCACUUCCCCGUACAUAAGCUAUCAUCAUUCAUGGAGGCUGCUGACUCCUUGUCAUUGUCUUGGAUACAUUUCAAAUUGUUCAUGUAUGUCAAAAAUAGUUUGGCUGGAAGAUGAAUGUCCCAAGAUUGAGUUAUUUUUUAACAGGGCCUCGAUUUCAUAAUCAACUCACACCAAUUUGUAAAAUAUUGCAUUACUACAUUUGAAGGGCACUUGGCCUUGGUUUGGCUGGCAGUUCCAGGAA